GGAAGGAUCAUUAACAAAUCAUGUUUGCGCACGGGGGGUAUCCUCCUGUGCGUAUAUCAGCCCGACCCGGGUAUCCGAAAGGCUAUUCGGGUCAAUCUUGAGGGGUGUGCGAGCGCUUCUUGAGACAUUUACGCUUGUAUUGUUUGACAGAGUAAACAUGACACCAAAAGAUACAACUUUUAACAAUGGAUCUCUUGGCUCUUGCAACGAUGAAGAACGCAGUGAAAUGCGAAAAGUAAUGCGAUUUGCAUGAAUCUGUGAGUCAUCAAGUCUUUGAACGCACCUUGCACCGUAUGAGCAAUUGUACGGUAUACCUGUUUGAGAAUCGUAUCCAUCUUCCCCUAGCGAAAGCGGUGGGGAGACUUGUCGGCCUUGGGCUCCGGUCCAAUCCGAUUAAAUGCAGUAGGGUCUAGUCAGGCUGGUGGCCAGGGACACUGUGUGCUAGAGACGGUGGCGGCUUUCCUGAUAACAAAGGGGAGUAGUCCAGUCUUCUCACGGUGCGUCUCUGGUCCUUACAAGCUGGUCUGACGGCGGUCCUGAACGGAGAGGGGAGCUUUGCGGGUGGGGUCAAAUCCCUCGCGAAUGCAGCCUCUUCCAUCAUCUCUUUGAUCUCAAAUCAGGUAAGGCUACCCGCUGAACUUAAGCAUAUCAGUAAGCGGAGGAAAAGAAACUAACAAGGAUUCCCCUAGUAACGGCGAGCGAAGCGGGAAGAGUUCAAAUUUAAAAUCUGGGUGGCUUUGCUGCUCCGAAUUGUAAGUUAAAGAGGCGUUUUCUGGGUCUUUGCUGAGGUUCAAGUCUCCUGGAAUGGAGCGUCACAGAGGGUGAGAACCCCGUCUGGACCUUGGUGAGGAUCCUCUAUGAGGCGUCAUCUACGAGUCGAGUUGUUUGGGAAUGCAGCUCAAAAUGGGUGGUAAAUUUCAUCUAAGACUAAAUACUGGCAAGAGACCGAUAGCGAACAAGUACCGUGAGGGAAAGAUGAAAAGCACCUUGAAAAGGGAGUUAAAUAGUGCGUGAAAUUGUUAAAAGGGAAACGAUUGAGACCAGUAUUGCCUUGGGUCAUUCAGCGUCGUGAAGGGGCAACCCCGAGGGGCGUGCAUUUGGCCUAGGGCGAGUCAGCGUCAGUUUGGGUUCUUGGAGAGAGGUCAGGGGAAGGUGGGGUUGGCCUAGGUCAGCUCUUUAUAGCCCUUGGCUGGCACAGGGAGCCUGGACUGAGGGAUGCGGCUGCCGUACACUGCUCUUGAGCCCGUGCCUUGAGGAUCGGGGACUACACGUAGACCUCGGCCGAGGGGCAAGGAGGUAGGGGGCAGCAGGUGGAUCGAGGAUGCUGACGAAAUGGUCUUAAACGACCCGUCUUGAAACACGGACCAAGGAGUCUAACAUAUGUGCGAGUAUUUGGGUGGCAAACCCGAGUGCGUAAUGAAAGUGAUGUUGGGUGAGAGCCUUGCCCUUGGGCUUGGUGCAUCAUCGGCCGAACCUUGAUGUCUUCUGAUAGGUUUGAGUAAGAGCAUAUCUGUUGGGACCCGAAAGGUAGUGAACUAUGCCUGGAUAGGAUGAAGCCAGAGGAAACUCUGGUGGAGGUCCGUAGCCGUUCUGACGUGCAAAUCGAUGGUCAAAUCUGGGUAUAGGGGCGAAAGACUAAUCGAACUACCUAGUAGCUGGUUCCCUC
rnacentral:misc_RNA from 1 species